GGUUUCGUUUCGUUGUUUAUCGUCCUGUUUUCGGUUCGACACUUUGACCAGGGACUUCUACUCCACAGGUUUACAAGAUUUAAACUGCAAACGCUUGCGUGCAUGAAGCAAUUGUUUUAGUGAUAUGCUAUGAGAAGGGUUCAGUUUGUUUUUAUAAGGGAGUAAAGACAGGUCCUGCACAACGCAACUAUUAACAUUGUCAUUAUUGAUCUUGUUACUACUUGUUUGACCUUCAACCGCUAGGUAACCUAUUUCUAAAGGAAAAGUCUUCUACAGCAGUGAGCCAGGUACAACAGGUUUGAAAAACAUGGCAUCUAACUGGCAGGGAGAUUACUCGGCUCUUCAAUUUGCUAUUGUGGAAGACAAAAAGGAUUAUGGAAGGUUCAAGAUAGAGAGGAAAGACCUUGGUGAUUUUACAAAACUGGCUUUUAGCGUCACUUUUGAUGAGGCACAAAGCGAGCUGCAAGUUCGGACCAGGAAGGAUAAUGACUUGUAUGGAUUUAAUUACGUCAUUAAGGGAUUAAUUAAAACUUCAAACCUUGAAGGGGGACUAAAGAAGGAGAAGAAGCAGGCAUUCCUGCGGAUAGAAAAGGAUUUGAAAGAUGGAAACUUUAAUCUUUAGUGACAAAUAAAACACAUCAUCAUCAAUGUCUUUAGAAUGGUUCAGUACAGCAUUUAUUGUAGUCAGGAUUUCAGAGAGGAUCAAAGACAGCUUUUACUUUAAGAGACAAUCCUGGAAUAUUCUAACACAGCAUUUAGUUUAUAGUUCACAUUUAUAAACUGUACAUUAUACAUUAUAACGAUGUGAUUUCUUGUUGCUAGACAUUAACACUGGGUUACCUCCCCUCGUUGGAUAACAUAUAUAAACAUAAGUAUAGACAUCAACAUAGGAUUACAUUGGCUCGUUUAAUAAUACCAUGCAGGUAUAAUACUGGAUUAUCUCCUCUUGUUGGAUAAUGUUUUAAGUUGAUAAUGAGACUUUUAGGAAAAUCGUACUGUUUAUUGAAUUCAUUUCACUGUCUUAAUUGGGUAACAACAGACUGAAUUGUUUGUUAUAACCCAAUAGUAUGUGUUGCAAUGCUAGUCUUUACAUCAUGAUGACCAGAAGAAGAGAGCAGGUACAAAUUAUACUGCAAAAGUCACAAGGAUUAAUUUUAUCAUAUACAUUAACACCGGGUUAUCUCCCCUCGUUAGAUACUACUAUAUAGGCAUUAACACUGGAUUAUAUUAAUUACCUCCAUUUGUUGGAGAUUAGUAUAUAGGCACUAACACUGGAUUUUAUUAAUUACCUCCAUUUGUUGUAGAUAACUAUAUAGGCAUUAACACUGGAUUAUAUUAAUUAAGGAUAUGUCUUGUAUAAAAAAAAAAUGAUAAUGAGACUUAAACAAAAAUCUGUUUAUUUGAGUCAUGUCUUUGGAAGGAAAGAGCAUGUACAAAUUAAGCUGCAAAACACACUAUUAGUGCUAAGAGUAUUAAGUAAACCUGAAUUAAAGUUGUAUUUACCUUGAAACAAAAUGAACCUUUAUUUUUUUAUAAAUAAACUUUUAUCUACAUUCCUGUAUAAUUGUAUGUGAUGUCUUGUCUACAAUGAGUUAUGGCUAUGAAACAGUGCUAGAAAUAUAGAUCGAUUUUUUUUGAAAUAAUUACUUCUUAUGGAUAUAUUUGAUGUUCAGCAUGGUUGUUUUUCUGUGAAAUCUAAACCAAAACAUUAUAGGUAAAAUGAUGUACAUGUACUGAUACAGAUAAAUAGUUUUACGUCCUAUAGUAGUUUGUAAGACUGCUGACUAGCUACGAUAUUGCAUUAAAAUGAAACAAUAAAAUUGUUCCAGAAGCAGAACUAAAAUAUGUUUGUGGCAGAAUUCAAUACCUAUGUCUGUAUUGAUAUUGUAGUAGAGUUUUAAUGUGGUCAGCCAAGCAGAGAUGACAUAUAGAAACACUUGGUUUACAUUGACGGAAUCCUUCAAUUUCAAACAAAACUACACAUCAAUAACCGCUCAAAUUCAAUCUCAAUCAAAAUUAGAAAAUUUUAUGCACAUAAAUAACCGCUCAAAUUCAAUCUCAAUCAAAAAAUCAAAAAUCAACAUCAGCUUCUACUACUGUUAUCGAACCUGGUCGUAGAUGCUAGAAUGUCUUUGUUGUGUACUAUUACUGCUGAAAUGUUCAUGCUUAUAUUGUUUAAUGUUACUCUAUAUCAAACAUUACAUUCAUGUAUGUAUAUUUUUUUUUCUUUUCUAAACUUUACUGUACUGUUGUAUAGACAGACAUCACUUCCAUUUAUAUAUUUUUUUUAUUGAGAUGAAUGUCAUUCACAUUUUUUUUUUAAUUUACAUUAAUAUUUUGUACUUAAUUUAAGUAAGGGAUCAUUUAAUUCCUUGUGUUUUCAAAGUGGUCAGGUUUUGUAUGAAUAUAAAAGACCUUAUUUGGUAUUGCAAUGUCUGCUAGCCAACAGAAAAUGUUGUUUGAAGUCUAUGUUAAAAAUCAUGUAGAUUUAUACUUUUUAUAUACUUAUAUCUGAAAUAUUGUUUUUUUCAUAAUUCACUUUAGGUUUGGCAACAACACUCUUUAUUCAAUGUAUUUUGUUUUAGUUUUUAUUUGGUGUGGUAUUUGUAGUGUAGUUUGUGGUUUGUGUAUUGCAUUUGUUAGAGGAUGUUAUGCAGAUAUAGUUAAUAAAAAUUUGAAUAAGA